UUUGCCCUCUAACCUAUGAACCCACUAACUCCCCACCCACCUCUCUCUUUGUUUUGUUUUCAAGAUAGGGUUUCUUUGUGUAAUCCUGGCUGUCCUGGAAAUCACUCUGUAGACCAGGCUGGCCUUGGACUCAGAAAUCUGCCUGCCUCUGCUGCCUGAGUGCUGUGAGGAAAGGUGUAUAUCACCACUGCCCGGCUAACCUCACUCACUUGAGGUGGCCUCUCUGUUCCCGAGGGCACCUUUCAGGAACUCUGAUUACGUUACCAGUUGCUCCUUUACCGGGUAGGGAGGCAGGGUAUGACCAUUUGCCACAGAGAAUGAAAGCCUGACAGAGGAGUCCGAUCUGUGAAGCUGACUCCCGGGCACCUCUUUCCUAGGGUUAGGUGAGGGGGAAGACGAGAUUGGGUGGCAGAUGGAUGGUAAAGAGCAAAAGCAGCAGAGAGACGACCAGGGACAGGGAGAGGUGGACAGAGAAGUGUGAAAAGUGGGGAAAUGAUGAGACGCAUUAGAACAAAGUAGUGGGCCAAAGAGAUGUAGGGGCAUACAGCUCCUGGCCGCUUGGAAAGGGACCAAGGCAAGGCAAGGUCCCUUUAUUAUAAGACGGAGUUUAUUAAGUACAGAUAAAAUACUCUUUUGAGCUAUAAGUGCAGGUGUGGUGGGUAAUGGAAUAGGUCCCUUGUUUAAAUGGUUUACCUCUUAUGGCUGCCUUCCUCCAUUCCAGAGGACACAUGCAUAUUUAAAUACUUAUUUGACUUGAGGUUAAAGCUGUGUACGGUUGGGUCCCUGGGUGAAACAGCACUAUAGUGACCUCUGCUGGCACUAGGCCCUGGGUGCUGACCCCUCCCUGCCCUUCCUCCCAGCGGGCUGAGGUAGGAUUGCUGGGGGUCUCUGGCUGGAGCCAAGGACAGAGCUUGCAGGCUAAAUUGUGGGUCACCUGGCAUGCUGCUUCCUCUAGCUCUCCAAAUCCCUGUUGUGAGGAAGAGAGUGUCCUGCUCGUGUUUCACCUUUGGUCUCUCCUCAAGAUGCUGUGAUCACAUACUAUGAAGAUUCAAGGGGAUGGUUAAUUCCAGUGAUUUGAAUUUAAUGCGAUGCUAUGCAACUUACAGAAAGCAUGAAGCUGAUUUGUAUGCACAGACGUGGGAGAAGUAUGGGGACAAAUGGAGUGACAGAAGCGAGCUGCAGCACGGCAUGUCUAAUAGGAUGCAGCGUGUGCGCAUGCGUGUGCCGGAGGCCAGGCUGGGGAAGGUUGUCCGCGGAGCUCUGGAGACAAGAAUGACUUGGGGUGGGGAAGCCGUUUGGAACUUUUAAAAAAAUAUACUCUCCGUAUCGUUUUUC
ensembl:antisense Ccdc42os coiled-coil domain containing 42, opposite strand